rnacentral:rRNA from 1 species
CGGAACCUAUCACGGGGACGGGGGACAACACUGGGAAACCAGUGCUAAGACCGCGUACGCUCUCCUUGGGAGGAACAAGGAGAGGAGAAGUUUGUCUGAGGAGGGCAAGCUGACCUGUGCGGGGCGUGCGCCUGAUUAGCUAGUUGGGGGGUAACGGCCCACCAAGGCGACGAUCAGUCGCUGGUCUGAGAGGAUGAUCAGCCACACUGGGACUGAGACACGGCCCAG